rnacentral:rRNA from 1 species
GUCCACGCCGUAACGAUGUCUGCUAGCCGUUGGGAUCCUUGAGGUUCGGUGGCGCAGCUAACGCGAUAAGCAGACCGCCUGGGAGUACGGCCGCAAGGUUAACUCAAUGAAUUGACGGGCCCGCACAAGCGGUGGAGCAUGUGGUUUAAUUCGAUGCAACGCGAAGAACCUUACCAGGUCUUGACAUCCAGAGAACUUUCCAGAGAUGGAUUGGUGCCUUCGGGAACUCUGAGACAGGUGCUGCAUGGCUGUCGU